UACGUAGGGCGCGAGCGUUGUCCGGAUUUAUUGGGCGUAAAGAGCUCGUAGGCGGCUUGUCGCGUCGUCCGUGAAAACCUGUGGCUCAACUGCAGGCUUGCGGUCGAUACGGGCAGGCUAGAGUUCGGUAGGGGAGACUGGAAUUCCUGGUGUAGCGGUGAAAUGCGCAGAUAUCAGGAGGAACACCAGUGGCGAAGGCGGUGGUCUGGGCCGGAACUGACGCUGAGGAGCGAAAGCGUGGGUAGCAAACAGG
rnacentral:rRNA from 1 species